CCUACGGGAGGCAGCAGUGAGGAAUAUUGGUCAAUGGGCGAGAGCCUGAACCAGCCAAGUCGCGUGAGGGAAGACGGCCCUACGGGUUGUAAACCUCUUUUGUAAGGGAACAAAGUGAGGCACGUGUGCCUUAUUGCACGUACCCUAAGAAUAAGGAUCGGCUAACUCCGUGCCAGUAGCCGCGGUAAUACGGAGGAUCCGAGCGUUAUCCGGAUUUAUUGGGUUUAAAGGGUGGGUAGGGGGGGGGUGAAGUCAGGUGUGAAAGUUUGGGGCUCAACCCGCGUACUGCAGUGGAAACUGGCAGUCUGGAGUGCGGGAGAGGUAAGCGGAAUUCGUGGUGUAGCGGUGAAAUGCAUAGAUAUCACGAAGAACUCCGAUUGCGAAGGCAGCUUACUGGACUGCAACUGACGUUGAUGCUCGAAAGCGUGGGUAUCAAACAGGAUUAGAUACCCUAGUAGUC
rnacentral:rRNA from 1 species